ACUGCCUAAUUCCUCCGCAUAUAUGAUAUAGUAUUAUCCUCUCAUAUAUCAGUCACCUCAAAACCCUAGUGAUAUUUCCUUUCUUUUUUUUCCUCCAAUUUGUUUACAUUUUAGUUCUUAAGUUCAAUUUUCUGUGGGCACUAGGUCUUCUUUAAGCUCUUAAGGUAAAAUUAGAGUGGAAGAAGUUAAAGAUACCGAGGCUUACGAGGAGGAGCUACUCGACUACGAGGAAGAAGAGGAAAAAGCCCCUGACUCUGUCUCUGCUAAAGCGGCUGAUACUGCUAAAAAGGGAUAUGUUGGGAUACACAGUUCAGGUUUCAGAGACUUCCUACUGAAGCCAGAGCUUCUACGAGCCAUUAUAGAUUCUGGAUUUGAGCAUCCUUCAGAAGGCAAG